UACGUAGGGUGCAAGCGUUGUCCGGAAUUAUUGGGCGUAAAGCGCACGUAGGCGGGUCGUUAAGUCAGGGGUGAAAUCCCGGAGCUCAACUCCGGAACUGCCUUUGAUACUGGCGAUCUCGAGAUCGGAAGAGGUGAGUGGAAUUCCCAGUGUAGAGGUGAAAUUCGUAGAUAUUGGGAAGAACACCGGUGGCGAAGGCGGCUCACUGGUCCGAUACUGACGCUGAGGUGCGAAAGCGUGGGGAGCAAACAGG
rnacentral:rRNA from 1 species